GCCAAGGGAUGGGCACAGGCAGCCAUGCUCCAGGCAUAUUGCCCGUGUUUUGUGAGAGACUCCAACCAGGAAUAAAGGACUCCUGGUAAGCUGAUCCCUAUUCAGAGCACCAAAAGAAAAAGCAGAGUCACAAGGGAUGUUGUCUCCAGGAAGAACUUGGUAUAUCUGCAGGCGGAAGAGUUGGAUUGGAAAGUGAUGCUGAGUC